AAACCAAAACCACAUCAUUCUUAUCUUGGUAAAACCAAAACCCUAUCUUCCACCUUCACCCUCCCUCUCAAACUCAACCGCCUCCACCCAAAACCCCUCAUAUUCUCUUCAUUCCCAAAAAUCUCCGCCGCAGCAUAACCGGAUCGAGAGACAGCGAGAGAUGAGUGAGGAUCGAGAGAGAAGAGGAUUAUGGUUUGUUAUUGUUUCACCGAGAGAGAAGAGGAUUAUGGUUUGUUGUUGUUUCAUCGUGAGAGAUACAAAGUGUGGUUGAGAGAGAGGCGUGUAGCAGGGAAAGAGAAGGAGAUUGGGGGUUAGGUCAAGAUGUUACGCUUUGUUGGUAGCUAAACCAUGUGCUUGUAUAUUGAGUCUGAGAUUGAGAAAGCUUCAGCCGUUUCAGCCUCUUCGCCGCGCCGUAUCGCUCAAAAUCUCUAGAAAUUGGUUUCAGAACAUGAUUGUCCCCAUUUACUGUUCUAUGGUCCAUCAGGUUCUGGCAAGAAAAGCCUAAUCAUGACUCUUCUCCGUCAAAUGUUUGGACCCGGUGCUGAAAAGGUGAAGGUGGAAAAUAGAGCAUGGAAAGUGGAUGCUGGGAGUAGAUCUAUUGAUUUAGAGCUGACAACAUUAUCAAGUGCCAAUCAUAAUUUGGUUUUCGAAACUUCCAUCCACUCUUUUUAUUUGUUCCACAAUUUAUACUUAGUUAAAAUGUUUUUUUGUUGACACAUUGAGGUGAAGAAGAGAUGAGAACAAUGAAGAAUACAAUAUGAGUUCCAUUAUUAGUUGUCAUUCUAUUUUUAUAAGUGUUUAUUUUUCUGUUUGUUUUCUAGAGCUUAAAUGUUUUUUUCUCCAGCUUCUGUUUGUCCUACUGUUUUUGUUUCAAGCCCCUAAUGAACAAGAUGAAAAAGUUAUAUGAUAAAAAAACAUGUUCACAUGAUUGGAUACAUCUAUUUGGAGUGCAACUGCUUCAUUGCUUUCUUACCAAAACCAUCAUGGAUGGAUCUUUAUAAUCAACUUUUCUGUGUUAGGAGUAAAUGCCGAUGAUGUUCGAGUCUCUGUGGCAGGAGCCCUUUUUUCUGUAGUGCCAUGGACACAGUGUGAACAAGUUAUUCAAAUAGCUUUACAGAUGUUAGAUGAAGGAUGAAGGAUGAAGGAUGAAGGAUGAAGGAUGAAGGAUGAAGAAAUAGAUUCACUAAUUUUAACAGAGUCAUGAUGGACAUUGGCCAGGAGAUUAUGGAGGUCCCAUGUUUCUUAUGCCUGGAUUGGUUAUUACUUUGUCUGUCACCGGGGCUUUGAAUGCAGUCUUAACCGACGAGCAUAGAAAGGAAAUGCGCCGUUACCUCUAUAAUCAUUAGGUAACAACUUCACUCUAUCUUUCACGCUAAUCAGUGGGUUUUUUUUCCAUAAGUUCUUGUAAUUAAUUAGUUAGAUGUAACUGCAGAACAAGGAUAGUGGGUGGGGUUUGCAUAUUGAAGGUCCAAGCACAAUGUUUGGCUCUGUCUUGUGUUACGUUACUCUAAGGUUGCGAGGGGAGGGACUGAAUGAUGGAGAUGGGGAUAUGGAGAAGGGACGUGACUGGAUUCUUGAGCAUGUGGGGGAAAAUGUGGCUAUCAGACAAAUCUUACUCCACAUUCCUCUUAGUGAUUUGUUUCUUCCUGAAUAUCGAUGUUCAUUGAUUUCUUGACUAUAUUUUUGGAUUUACCUAUAACCUGAAAAAGUUGUGGGAAUUAUACUGACUGUUUCAUUUCUUGUUUAAAGGUUGGUUAUUUUUUUAGUCUAUAACACAUGACAAUGCCAUCUUUUGACAGUAGGUAUUUUAUAAAUGCAGAUUGUUCUCCAAAGGAAUAAACCUUCACUUGAGCAAAUAAGUAAAAGAGUGAAGUAAAUUAUAUCAAAUGGGAUCCUACUGGUUCACUACUGGCCUCGUGUUCAGACGAUAAAUAGUGUUGCGAAUACAAUGAACAAUAUUGUUGAUAUUUUGAAUUGUAUAUGUUGAUAUUUUGAAUUGUAUAUUUCAGGGUUGUAAUUAGAAUGCAAUAGAUACUCUAUAUAAACAUAUCAAAUUUAUAAUGGGUCACAUACUAGUACAUUAUAAUUGUGAUUAUA